rnacentral:misc_RNA from 1 species
GUUGGACAUUACCAUAGGCUGAGAGUUCAAUUAGAUCCAUGUCGCGUCCUGCGACUCUACAAUAUGCGCUCUUUUGUAUUAGGUCUGAUUUUGAUACUUCCGUCCGAUUACCUUUUGAUCUAUUAACUUUUGCCUGUAACACUUGACAAUUCUCCAACGUGCUCUUUCCACCCUUGGAAUAGGGGAGGAUGUGGUCGUAGUCAUGGCAGAGGCAUCCCGGGCAGCCGACCAGCUUGCGGAACACGAGGUUACCGAGGUAGUCGCGGCGCCAGCGGUCUGAAUCCCGC